UAAGGGUUCCUGGGUCAAGCUGAUCUGCCCAGGGUAAGUCGGGACCUAAGGCGAGGCCGACAGGCGUAGUCGAUGGACAACCGGUUGAUAUUCCGGUACCCGCUUUGAAACGCCCAAUAUCGAAUCCAGUAAUGCUAAGUCCGUGAAGCCGUCCUGGAUCCUUCGGGUGAAGGGGAGUGGUGGAGCCGAUGACCCAAAGUGGUAGUAGGUAAGCGAUGGGGUGACGCAGGAAGGUAGUCCAGCCCGGGCGGUGGUUGUCCCGGGGUAAGGGUGUAGGGCGUUGUCCAGGUAAAUCCGGACAGCAUGAAGCCUGAGACCUGAUGCCGAGCCGAUUGUGGUGAAGUGGAUGAUCCUAUGCUGUCGAGAAAAGCCUCUAGCGAGUUUCAUGGCGGCCCGUACCCUAAACCGACUCAGGUGGUCAGGUAGAGAAUACCGAGGCGUUCGGGUGAACUAUGGUUAAGGAACUCGGCAAAAUGCCCCCGUAACUUCGGGAGAAGGGGGGCCAUGUCUGGUGAUGAGUCUUGCACUCUGAGCUGGGUGUGGCCGCAGAGACCAGCGAGAAGCGACUGUUUACUAAAAACACAGGUCCGUGCGAAGCCGUAAGGCGAUGUAUACGGACGAUGUCCUGCCCGGUGCUGGAACGUUAAGGGGACCGGUUAGC
rnacentral:rRNA from 1 species